rnacentral:rRNA from 1 species
AACGAACGCUGGCGGCAGGCUUAACACAUGCGAGUCGAGCGCCCCGCAAAGGGAGCGGCAGACGGGUGAGUAACGCGUGGGAAUCUACCCAUCUCUACGGAAUAACGCAUGGAAACGUGUGCUAAUACCGUAUACGUCCUUCGGGAGAAAGAUUUAUCGGAGAUGGAUGAGCCCGCGUUGGAUUAGCUAGUUGGUGGGGUAAAGGCCUACCAAGGCGACGAUCCAUAGCUGGUCUGAGAGGAUGAUCAGCCACACUGGGACUGAGACACGGCCCAGACUCCUACGGGAGGCAGCAGUGGGGAAUAUUGGACAAUGGGCGCAAGCCUGAUCCAGCCAUGCCGCGUGAGUGAUGAAGGCCCUAGGGUUGUAAAGCUCUUUCACCGGUGAAGAUAAUGACGGUAACCGGAGAAGAAGCCCCGGCUAACUUCGUGCCAGCCGCCGCCGUAAUAC